CCUGAGGGAUAACUCAGUUGGUAGAGCAUGAGACUCUUAAUCUGAGGGUCCUGGGUUCAAGUCCUGUACAGUGGUACCUCGGGU